rnacentral:rRNA from 1 species
UACGUAGGGGGCAAGCGUUAUCCAGAUUUACUGGGCGUGAAGCGCGUGUAGGCGGCUGGUUAGGUGUGAUGUGAAAUCUUCCGGCUCAACCGGAAAACUGCAUUGCAAACCGGCCUGGCUAGAGUGCAGGAGAGGGAAGCGGAAUUCCAGGUGUAGCGGUGAAAUGCAUAGAUAUCUGGAGGAACACCAGUGGCGAAGGCGGCUUCCUGGCCUGCAACUGACGCUGAGACGCGAAAGCGUGGGGAGCGAACCGG